CUAUGGUCACGCAAAUAGCACAAAGUGUAUCAUACGAGAAAAUGUAACUCUUCUGAGGAACAUAACGUGCGUUUCGUACAUUCCCGUUAUCCUAUCAAUCAUAUUUUUUUCGUCGAUUUAUCUGAUCGUGCUAUUAGUUAGUGGUGGUCACGCAAAUAGCACAGUCAUCGGUUGGAUCUUGAAAGUAUCUUUUUAUUUAUUUUUAGUGAAAUUUAAAUACAUUUAAAGUUCAGUUCUAUCAAAAUUUACGCAGAUUGAAUUAAAAUGGCUUGCGGUAAACACUGUUCUCCUUAAAAAAGAAUCAUUAUUCAUAACAUGGCUAAGACAGGAAAAAGUGUUUCAGAAAUUGCAGUUUUCUGGAAUUAUUCCCGUAAAAUAGUACAUAAUGGCUUUAAACUGGUUCAAGAGAGUGAAGAUUAUCUAUCUCAAAACAAAUCCUAGGCACCUGCUCCGCGCAAGACAACGAUUUUUGAAGACAGAGCCAAAAUACGAAAAAA